CGGCCGCAGAGCGGCCGAGAGUUCGCAAGUCUGGGGCUCUCUUCCCAGAGAGCUCGUAGGGGAGGACCGUCAAGGGCCUCAAGCGUCUCUCUUGACUCCCCUUCUCUCGCUGUGCAGUGGCGGCGCCGAGGGGUCGACGCUCAGGGCUAAUCUCUAUGAGUCACCCUCGAGGCCCCGGGUAAUAUUGGGUGGAUCACAAGAACUAAUCUUUCAUGAUUUGGAAACUGGAAGGAAAGAAGCACUUUUGUAGCUGACUCACCUCAAUGGCAUGACCAGUGUCUGAGCCUACAACUGCGCUACCUUCCCUGGAUUUUUCUUCACCUUUUCCUUACUCAUGAGCCAGAACUGCAUGUCCAAGGAGCUAUACAUUUGCUAGAAGGGGAUGACCAAUUCAGCUCUGAGUUUCCUGGGAGCCAAAGCCAAGAGCUCCAUGUCCACAAGAUCGACGACCAAGUACUCAGAAGAACAGCUUUUCCUGAUACUAGGAGUUAAGAGAAGCUUUCUCCAGGAACCCUCAUAGAGACAACCUUGCAUGAUGCAGUGGACAGCACCCUUAGCAUGCUCCACAAGGGUCAUUCUGCAGUCUCUUUCAGCACUGGAUAACGGCACUCUGUCUCAAAGGACCCAUGUGGGCAGAGAGGAGAGUUCUCACCUGGAGUUCAGCAUGGUGGACUUGGGCUGCAGCCGUGGCCACCUGGUCCUCCAGAUCCGCCAGAUGGGUCUCAUCAGUGCCGCUGUGGAUGCAGCGGGCGGCAU
rnacentral:lncRNA from 1 species